GUGGGGAAUCUUCCGCAAUGGACGAAAGUCUGACGGAGCAACGCCGCGUGAGUGAUGACGGCCUUCGGGUUGUAAAGCUCUGUGAUCGGGGACGAAUGGCUGGUAUGCUAAUACCAUAUCAGAGUGACGGUACCCGAAUAGCAAGCCACGGCUAACUACGUGCCAGCAGCCGCGGUAAUACGUAGGUGGCAAGCGUUGUCCGGAAUUAUUGGGCGUAAAGCGCGCGCAGGCGGCUUCUUAAGUCCAUCUUAAAAGUGCGGGGCUUAACCCCGUGAUGGGAUGGAAACGGGGAGGCUGGAGUAUCGGAGAGGAAAGUGGAAUUCCUAGUGUAGCGGUGAAAUGCGUAGAGAUUAGGAAGAACACCGGUGGCGAAGGCGACUUUCUGGACGACAACUGACGCUGAGGCGCGAAAGCGUGGGGAGCAAACAGGAUUAGAUACCCCAGUAGUCC
rnacentral:rRNA from 1 species